UAUACGCGUGUGUGAAGAAGCUGAGGUGAAAGCACUUUCAAUAGGAAGGAAUACCUAUCGGCUAAUACCCGGUAACUGACAUUACCUAUACAAGAAGCACCGGCUAACUCCGUGCCAGCAGCCGCGGUAAUACGGAGGGUGCAAGCGUUAAUCGGAAUUACUGGGCGUAAAGCGUGCGUAGCGGUUAUUUAAGUCAGAUUGAAACCCCGGGCUUAACCUGGGAACUGCAUUUGAUACUGGGUAACUAGAGUUUAGUAGAGGGGAGUGGAAUUUCAGGUGUAGCGGUGAAAUGCGUAGAGAUCUGAAGGAACACCAGUGGCGAAGGCGGCUCCCUGGACUAAAACUGACGCUGAGGUACGAAAGCGUGGGUAGCAAACAGGAUUAGAUACCCUGGUAGUCCACGCCGUAAACGAUGUCAACUAACUGUUGGGUCCUUUAAGAACUUAGUAGUGGAGCUAACGUAUUAAGUUGACCGCCUGGGGAGUACGGCCGCAAGGCUAAAACUCAAAUGAAUUGACGGGGGCCCGCACAAGCGGUGGAGCAUGUGGUUUAAUUCGAUGCAACGCGAAGAACCUUACCUACCCUUGACAUCCUCGGAACUUGUCAGAGAUGACUUGGUGCCUUCGGGAACCGAGAGACCGGUGCUGCAUGGUUGUCGUCAGCUCGGGUCGGGGAUGCGGGUAAGUCCCGUAACGAGGG
rnacentral:rRNA from 1 species